AGGAAAGGAGAGAAGGGCACAUGAAGGAUGCCUUGGCUCUCGGAGGCGAAGAAGGACGUGACAAGCUGCGAAAAGCCGCGCCCAGGGGCAAAUACCCGUUGAAGCGCGGAUGUCCGAAUGGGGCAACCCGGCGGAGCGAACCUCCGCCACCUGGCAUUGCCAGGGGCCAACCCGGGGAACUGAAACAUCUAAGUACCCGGAGGAAAAGAAAACAACAGUGAUUGCGCGAGUAGUGGCGAGCGAAAGCGCAGGAGCCCAAACCGGAGGUGUGGCAACGCACCGUCCGGGGUUGUAGGACCGCCGACAAAGGCACCCGCACAGGUUAGGGGAAAGUGCUGGAAAGCACUUCCACAGAGGGUGAAAGACCCGUACCCGAAAACGUGUGCGCAGCCGAGGCGGCACCUGAGUAGUGCGGAACACGAGAAAUUCUGCAUGAAUCCGCGGGGACCAUCCCGCAAGGCUAAAUACUACCGAGAGACCGAUAGCGAACCAGUACCGUGAGGGAAAGGUGAAAAGAACCCCGAACAGGGGAGUGAAACAGACCCUGAAAUCAUGUGCCUACAAGCGGUCGGAGCUGCUCCGUGCAGUGACGGCGUGCCUUUUGCAUA
rnacentral:rRNA from 1 species